rnacentral:tRNA from 1 species
GGCCCGUUGGUCAAGAGGUUAAGACGCUGCCCUUUCACGGCGGAAUCAUGGGUUCAAUUCCCGUACGGGUCACCA